rnacentral:rRNA from 1 species
AUUGAACGCUGGCGGCAGGCCUAACACAUGCAAGUCGAACGGUAGCACAGAGAGUUUGCUCUCGGGUGACGAGUGGCGGACGGGUGAGUAACGUCUGGGAAGCUGCCCGAUGGAGGGGGAUAACUACUGGAAACGGUAGCUAAUACCGCAUAACGUCGCAAGACCAAAGUGGGGGACCUUCGGGCCUCACACCAUCGGAUGUGCCCAGAUGGGAUUAGCUAGUAGGUGGGGUAAUGGCUCACCUAGGCUACGAUCCCUAGCUGGUCUGAGAGGAUGACCAGCCAACGUGGAACUGAGACACGGUCCAGACUCCGACGGGAGGCAGCAGUGGGGAAUAUUGCACAAUGGGCGCAAGCCUGAUGCAGCCAUGCCGCGUGGAUGAAGAAGGCCUUCGGGUUGUAAAGUACUUUCAGCGGGGAGGAAGGCGGUGAAGUUAAUAGCUUCACCGAUUGACGUUACCCGCAGAAGAAGCACCGGCUAACUCCGUGCCAGCAGCCGCCGUAA